GAUAGAACUAUAAAUACGGAUGAGUAGUUGAUGAAUCUUAGCAGCGAGUUAAGGAUAGUGAGAGCUUAAUAAUACUUUCAUCAAUGAAUAACACCUAUUUGUUUUCGUUUUGAAUCUUUAGUAGAAACGAACGCACAUCAAAGCGUUAUUUGAUUGAGUGGCCUAUUUAUAGGCACUUUAGGUGGUACCGCGGAACUUUCGUCCUAAUU
rfam:Lactobacillus kunkeei strain LAko contig004, whole genome shotgun sequence.